GUGCGGGUCAGGUCGCUGGGAAGGGAGAAGCGGAAAACAUGCACCUGUUAGUAGUGACUGCGUGCGGCCGCCCGGGCGGGCGGGCGGGAGCGGGGCCGCCCUCCCUCCUCCCCGCACCCCUCGCGCGGCGCCCCCUUACUCGAUGAAGAAGACGCGCCCGUCCCUGCAGACGCCGUAGGACCAGUGCUCAGAUAACCAAAAUAAAUAAUCAGAAGAAAGUAGUAGGCAGGAAAAACAACAUCAUUGAGAAGAGAGAGGACUUUGCUCAAUUUCACACCAGUUUCAGACAUCAUGCUGGUAUGGUGCAUCAGGAUGACCUUGUGUAGACCUCCCUUUUUGGCCACUGUUGGAGAAGAGGACACUAUACUAGUGUCAUGGUUGUUAUAGUGAGACACAUUGCAGGCUAGCUUCAGAAGCUGUGAGCUCAGAAAGCUCUUGAGCAAGAUGUUAUUUACAUAUGUAACUCCUGGCUCUGGUUCCAGUCCUCCCUGGCUGAUCUCGGCCACUUUUCUAUUACAUAUCAUUCACUGCUCUCUAGAGGCACUGUGUGGAAGAAACCAUUUGAGGUAAAAUUAGGGAUUUAAGGCCACAAUAUCAGGAACUCAGCUAAAGGUUGUGAAAUAUGUUCUUCAACAACAUUAAGGGUCUAAUAAAAGCUGUGAGACUUGAGGCUCCCUUUGUUGAUAACUGGGUAAUUCAAGGAGACGUGGUCCCUGAAUACUGCAAGUUUGAAUCCACAUAUGGCAGCUUUAUAGAAAUCUGUUACUGAUGUUUCUUGCUCUGUCUGCAUCCCCUGGGAACACUUUGGAUGAAUUCAUUAAUUUUUUUUUCUGCCUUGGGAGAGCAGUGGUAUAUAUUUUAAAGUAUGUCAAAAUCUGUAUAUACACUUUCACAGAAACAUAAAAUCACAGACUGGUUUGGGUUGGAAGGGACCUUAAAGAUCAUCUAGUUCCAACCUUCCCAUCGUGGGCAGGGACACCUUUCACUAAACCAGGUUGCUCAGAACUCCAUCCAACUUGGCCUUUAACACUUCCAGGGAUGGGGCAUCCACUGUUUCUCUGGGCAACCCAUUCCAGUGCCUCACCAUCUUCACAGUGAAGAAUUUCUUUCUAGUACCUAAUCUAAACCUGCCCUCUUCCAGUUUAAAAUUGUUACCCUUUUUCCUAUCACUACAUGCCUUUGCUAUUUCCAGAGUAAAAUCACUGAAUAUGAACAUCCUUUCUACGUCCUUUCCUUUCUUUUCAGCCCUUGCCCUUACAACCCAGCUUCACCCUGUCAAUGGCAACAUCCAAAUCUUUUCAUUUUCUCUUUUUUCCACUUCUAUUACACACAUCGUCACCCCUUGCACAACUUAGGUCUGCAUAUUUCCCUGCACUUUUUCAACCCUUCAUAUGCUAUAACUUUUCAACAAAACAUGGAGUAGGAAUCUGCAAAUAAUGCUGGAAACACUAUAUAAUAAUAAUAAUAAUAAUAAUAAUAAAGAGUAUAAUUUCCAUCAGUCACAACUAGAUCCAGUGCCUAGGAGGUUACGGAAUCACAUCUGGACUUCAGGCUGCCUUGUACGCUAAUGAUCUAUUUCCUAUUUUCCUGAGAAUUGAAUACAAUCGAAUUUGAUGACUUAGAGGCUGCUGCUGUUUCAGGAAACUUAAAUGAGGUACAAUGCAUAGAAAAGCCUGCUAGUUAUGACUUUUUCAUCAUGGCCUGUACAUUUUAUAAAGGGCAAGCACAAUCUAUAAAAGGUGCAAGGCCAGACCAGAGGCAGAGCAUUUGAGGAGCACUGAAUUUCAAUUAUUAAAUCUUGGUUCAGAAAGUUCAUAAGCCAUAAUGCAAAACAUGUAAUAUGCCUUUUAGCAUGAUUUUGCAGCUCUGCUCAGAACAGCUGAGAAUUAAAACCACAAAAGGUUUCAUGGUAAGACAGGUUAAUUUGCAAGACAAUUUCAGAGCAAUUCAUUUCCUGAUUAUACUGAAAUAUAGGUUAUGCAACCAAAUCGUUCUUCAAGAUUGUGCAGUGCAAUUCCCAUCCAGCAGUGGCAAGUGCUUAAGAGACUAGAAAUCAAUACCCUGAUUCUUAUGGGUAGAAGAAUAUGUUAAUCAGAUGAUAGGGAAAUACAAAAUAUGAAAGAGGUCUUGGAGGCAUUAGGCAAAUCCACAUUCCUGGAAAAUUUUCAGUGCCAUUACUCCAAAACUACAAUGCUUUUUCAGAGGAUGGAAAAACUUCACUAAGGAAUCACUAUGGAAUAUUUGUUCAAAUUGGGGAAAACAACUUUCAACUGUUGGAUUCCCAAACAACGUGGGAAAAAGCCAUUUCAGGAGAACAGUACUAAUGAUUCCAAAAAUAGCACAAGAAGAGGAACAGAUUCCUUUGUCCGUGGCUAACUCAAGGAGAUUUGCUGAGGUCCCCAAUUGCUGCAAAUUUGAACCCACAAAAAAUGGUAGACUUCACACACUUCCAGAUAGCUUGCCUUCAAAAGGAAUUAGAGAGAAAAAGGGAAUAUAUGUAAUGGGUUACUUAAUGUCAGUAAUUCAGUAAAGAAUAAAAAUAUUAGUAUAUAACAGAACUCUCCAAUAAUUCAGAAGAGAAAAAAUGGUCAUGCACAGCUAAUACCUGUGUCAUGCUGUAGGAUGAAAGAGCACUAUAAGGAGAGGAUCAAACAUACAGAAAGAUUUGCUUUAUUUUCGAGUCUCAAGUCCAAAAGUUGUUUACAACAAGAAGAGGACAAAAUAAAAAUAUUCAAGUCAAAGAAAGACCAAAUAUUACCUUACUGGAUAAGGAAAGCAAGCAAGAAGAUCAUUGUUGUAUUAUUUCAAAAUAAAAUGCAGUUGAUGGGAUUUAAUACGUACCAAUCAAUUUUUUUUCCAUGUUCAUCCAUGGCAGGGUAAGUAGAAAUCAGCCUGAUUUAUGCAAGAUAAAUUUGAAGAUAGAAAUAAAUAGAAAUAUUCCCAAAUAUAAUGAGGAGCAAAACCGCUAGGAAUGUCAUGGCAUUUCCUUCAUCACCAGUUUCUGAAGGCUGGCCCAGGCAAAGCUUCUGGCAGGGAGAUUCUCAGUAUACUUAUUUUGGUUUAGAUCAGGAACUAUGAAGAGAUGACCUCACAAGAUCCCUUUUAGCCUGGAUUUCUAUGAAAACAAAAGCUGAUUCAAAAUGUUAAGAAUUUUAGAAAUAGGUGGAUGUCUAAAAUUGUCAUUGCAUGAUAUGUACUAAAGAACACCAUUACUGAGCGGCUGACUAGUUCACAGGAAGAAUUCAUGGCAACCAUUUGAAUUUAAAGAUUUCUGUUAUUUACAAGGAGAGGAAGGACAAUCCCUGAUGUAGUUAAGAAAGAUAAGCAACUUGCACAAUGGUACUCCUAAUGACAUGACUAAAUAUAGAGCGCAUGCUCAUUCCAGACCUGGAAUGUUUUCAGUCAAAACUCAUAAUCCACAGAAGCCAGGAGAGCUUGACACAAUGUAAGGCGGCAAGAGUCACAAGAUAGGUAUAAAAGUUAGGCACACCAUCUGCAAGACAUCACUCAGUUCCAGCCUAAGUACUUUCCAGGACAGAAUUAAUACAUAUUAAUACAACACCAAAUAAAUCUUGAACAGAACUGAAAAGGUACUGUCACCAAUCGAUUGUGGUUUGGUUUUUUUGUAAGUACGACAUUAAAUGAAACAUCUUUUGCAUUUUGUGCACAGGACAAUUUAUGCUGUGGGGAAGGUGAUGGCAAAUGUUAGACAAAAUAAGACUUUCAGAGCCUGUUUCCCUUGCAAUAGAUUGAGAAGUUUCCCUAAAUUUCCAUGGGACUAGUGUCAGGCAGUAGAGUUCUAUGAGCACCAGAAGAUAAAUAUAGCUGAUAAAAUAAGAAAGAUUAAAUAAUGGUAAAUCCAUUGUUGAGGGAUUUCCAAAUACGGAAAAAGGAAUUAUUCAUUUUCCUGGCCACUGGAAAGAAUAUAAACAAGUUCAAAUUGUAUCCACAGUUCCUUUGAGGAAGAUAUGGAGCAUGACAUUGUACAAGAAUAGUUUUCAGGCUCACUGUGUCACUGUGAUCUGACUGAUGACUGCACACAGGCAUCAGCCGAGACAGUGACACUGCUGAGCAAGACAGAUGGGAAAAUGACAUUGAGAAGGCAACACUCGUGCUGCAUAGCAAAUCCAAACUUCUCCUUCCAAACCAUGCUGAACUCUCCUAGGAGUAAAAAAAAAAUGGUAAUUCUCUUUACUUAAAAGGUUUUCUUUUCCAAACCACUGUCAGUUUUUAAAAGUAUGUUCACGCUGCAAGUACCCUUUCUGCAAUUGAGAAGAUAUCUUCAAAAUAAUUCUAUUUUCCUUACAAAUUUCCUUCCUGUUUAAAGAUAUCCUACUGUUUCAUCUUUUAGAUGCAUGUAUCUGAAUAUAUCUAAUUACCUCUCUCACCAGAAUAUCCCAUUGUCCUAAAGAAUUAUAGUCAUAGAAUCGAGUUAAGCAUGUCCCCUGAAAUACACAAAAAUGCAUGCAAAAGCAAAAAUGAAUGAAUGCAUUUCCUAAUUACUAAGUCAAUUUACAAUUUCCUGUCACACAAGCUUUUAUGAUUACUAUAUUUAACACAGUCCUAUCGCUUCUUCUCUUCAUUUUCUCUCUUUUGCAUUUCACAAAGUCUCAAUAAUUUACAUACCCAGCACCUAGGAUACUCAGACUAAGAUGUAUUAAUUAAUUAAUAUUUAAUUAAGAAUUAAAUAAAUAGUCAUAAUUUUGUCAUGGCACAUCUUGUCAUUCUAAACAGAGGUGGCAGUAGUCAAAUUGCUGCACAAUGUUCAAGUUACUUGUAGAAGGGAGAAAUACAGAAAAACAAUUAUGUGCCAAAGUCACUUACAAGAUCAUUUCCAGAAAUGAAAAUUUGUGGGUGUUUUUCUUAUUUUUUUGUCAAAGGACGCUGUAAGCCUGGCAGCACGGAGAAGCCCUCAGUUCUUCAAUAUUGAUAUACCUGCAGCUGUCAACAUUUGGUUUGUUUUAAAGCAGAGACUUGAAGUCAUUUCCAUAUUUAUGAACACAAACAGGCUCACUGUCAUCCCAUGGCUAUGGACACCUGAGUAUGAAGAAGAUCCUUUUUUAAGGAACAGGACAAAUGGAAAGACAGACAUUACUGACCUCUGAGACUAAAAACUUCAAAAUUUUAAAUCAAACUGUUCAAUUCUCUGAUGUUUCCUCACAAAUUUUGUGUUUUAUUUCCUUCCCCAACAUGAGAUACCUCACUCCUUUAUUCCCAUCAAAGCUUUUUUUUCCCCCAGCUUUGAGUCCAUGACUGUUAUUACCCCUUUUUUCCAGCCCCUCUGGCAACUGCCAUUACCAUAUUUGCCCCCCUUUUUUUGGAAUAUUUUACAUACCACAUUCAAGGCAAGCAGAAUGUCACAUAUUCCCAACCAUAUUCACUAAGACAUUUUUUCUAAAAAAAUUAAAGACCCCUGAAUUCACUA